ACAAUACUCUGUAGAGUGCGGUGAACGCCGCACGCCGAAGGUGCAACCUGCGCGGUACAGUCAUUGAUGCCGGGGCGGGGAAUCUCUCAGGUGCGCAAACAGAGGCAC
rnacentral:ncRNA from 1 species